rnacentral:rRNA from 1 species
GAUGAACGCUAGCGGUCGGCCUAACACAUGCAAGUCGAGCGGCAGCAUGCCGGAGUAAUCUGGUGAUGGCGAGCGGCGAACGGGUGAGUAACGCGUAGGCAACUUACCUCUAACCGGGGGAUAGCCCGGCGAAAGCUGGAUUAAUACCCCAGAUAUUUACCGAAGGCAUCUUCGGUAAAUUAAAGCUCCGGUGGUUAGAGAUAGGCCUGCGUCCCAUUAGCUAGUUGGUGAGGUAACGGCUCACCAAGGCAACGAUGGGUAGGGGGUUUGAAAGGAUGAUCCUCCACACUGGCACUGAGACACGGGCCAGACUCCUACGGGAGGCAGCAGUGAGGAAUAUUGCGCAAUGGGCGAAAGCCUGACGCAGCCAGACCGCGUGCAGGAAGAAGGUCGUAAGAUUGUAAACUGCUUUUGUCGGAGAGGAAAAGUUGAUACGUGUAUCGAUUUGACAGUAUCCGACGAAUAAGCACCGGCUAACUCCGUGCCAGCAGCCGCGGUAAUACGGAGGGUGCAGGCGUUAUCCGGAUUUACUAGGUUUAAAGGGUCCGUAGGCGGUAUAGUAAGUCAGUGGUGAAAGCCCUGAGCUCAACUGAGGGAUUGCCAUUGAUACUGCUAAACUUGAGUUCGGUUGAUGUUGGCGGAAUGCAUCAUGUAGCGGUGAAAUGCUUAGAUAUGAUGCAGAACACCGAUUGCGAAGGCAGCUAACAAAGCCGUUACUGACGCUGAUGGACGAAAGCAUGGGGAGCGAACAGGAUUAGAUACCCUGGUAGUCCACGCCGUAAACGAUGAUCACUCGUUCUUGGCGAUACACAGUCAGGGACUGAGCGAAAGCAUUAAGUGAUCCACCUGGGGAGUACGUUCGCAAGAAUGAAACUCAAAGGAAUUGACGG